ensembl:lncRNA
CGUCACGAAAAUCCUUCCUCAAACCCUGAGAGGGUGUGAGCGCCAGACUCCACGUGGCCCUGCUGCAGCCUGCAAUAAGGAGCCCCGGGAGUCCCUGACCAUCAGGGUUGCCCACUUUCUCUCUUCCGAAGGGCUCGGGCCAGGCGAGCCGGAAGUCCCAGAUCUCGCGACAUCUGGCCGCAGGAAGCGGCGCCUGUGGGUUGGGGCGAGUUUGGAGCUCGGUGGAGGCGCCGCGGUCUCCAGACACAGCCCUCUGCUCCGCAGCGGCAGCUCUGCGUCUGCACUAGGGGCCCUGGAGGACAGACGCCUGUGCGGUUCGUCCCGUCCCACCGCCCCGCCCGGCGGCGCCCUCUAGGCCUGCGGGCCCGGCUGGCUCCAGGCGUCUGGCCUUCCGCCGGGCCUGGCGGGCGGCGCUGCUCCGCCGACGAGGCAGCUGGGAGCCCGGAGAGCCAGAGCCCAGAGGGCCCUCCUGCCGCCUCGGGGCUGCCGUUGCCGCUCACUGAGGAGGGCCCCUCCGCAUGGCUUUCUUGGUCCCCCGAGAGGGGGCUUUGUCUUGGAACGGCAAUCGGCACGUGUCUGCCUGUCUCUCUGCCCCCUCUGAACCUCACAGCGGCCUCUGCUCUGGCAAGUCCUCAGUUUACCCCUUCUUACACACCCGAGGGCGCAGCGCCACCAGAGGGCUCUGGCUGGGCCCACCCUCCACCCGCUGGACCGAAACCCAGCCCGUGGGCGACUCUAAAGUGAAAAGUAAAGUGAAUCUUAAUAACAACCACCAAAACAGAAACGCCAAACAAACAGAAACACGUGGACAUAUUAUAAAACGCAAAACCAAAGAAAAAGAGAAAAUCUUGAAAGAAUCCAGGAGAACAAAACAUUUGACCCAUGAAGGAGCAAGGAUAAGAAUUACAGUGAAUUUAUCAUCAUAAACUGUGUAAGCAAAAAGAUAGUGGAGUGAAAUCUGAAAGUAUUAAAAGAGAAAAAGGUCAAUCUGGAAUCCUAUAUCCUGUCAAACUAUACUUAAAAGGAGGAAGAGAAUAAAUACUGUGCCAAACGAAAUCUGAAUGAAUUCUUUGUCAGCAGACAUGACCUGCAAGAAUUCUUAAAGUUUUCGGGCAGAAUAUAAUAUAGUCAGAAAUCUGCAUCUAUAUAGAAAAGAAAGUGUGUUGGAGAAGAAGUAAAUGAAGGUCUGGCCUGCUGGCUUUGGGAGUGCGAUUUAUCCCAUUGGCUCUCCUGAUUCUCAGGGCUUCAGACUCGGAGUGAACCUACAGUCUGCUCUCCUGGGUCUCCAGCUUGCCGACUGCAGAUCUCGGGACUUCUUAGCCUCCAUGAUUGCAUAGAGAAAGUGAGUCACAGUGUUCCUCAGGGACUUGCCCAUGGUGAAGGAAUGGCUAAGCUGGAAAAAAAUAACAUCUGAAAUCACCCACUAAAAGUCUCUGAUCCAAAAGGCGACUGUGGCCCAGCCUCCCUGUAUUCCUCAGAUGACCCGGGAACUCAUAUUUGUUCAUCUUCGCUUUGUGAAGAAAUUCCUAAAAAAAAUCUUGAUGAAAACAUUCAUGCUUAAGGCUGAGACGUGCUGCAGAAAAUAUGUUAAUACUCUUAUUUUAAUAGGAGACAAUGAUUUAAACCAAAAGAAUAUUGGAGAGAAGUAAGAUUUCUUUUCUUCUAUGGCAAGAGUUGGUGAAGAAAUGGAGAGAUAAACAUAUAAUUUAGUACCUGCUCUGUUCAGUCACAUUACUAUGUAUUUGUCAUGUGUUACCUUACAUGGAUUGAAUUUUGUUCCCCCCAAAUUCAUGUCCAUCCCAAACCUAUAAAUGUGACUUUAUUUAGAAAUAAGGUCUUUGCAGAUGUAAUCAAGUUAAGAUGAGGUCGUACUGGAUUAGAAUGGGCACUAAAUCCAAGAUUAUGGCUAUCAUUAUAGAAAGAGGGAAAUUUUAAUACAAACACACAAAAAGGAGACUGUCAUGUGAACACAGAGGCAGAAAUUGGAGUUAGGCUGCCACAAGCCAAGAAAUGGCAAAAAUUGCCAACAACCACCACAAGCUGGAAAAUGUGUUUUUGUUAUGGCAGUCCUGGGAAACUAAUACGUUGACUAGCUCAGAAUCCUAACCAUGGAAGUUUCAGAGGUGGGAAAGUGAGUUUUGAGAGAUUAAAUGAUUUGUUCUAAGUUAUAUAGAAUCAUGAGGAGUGAGACUGUAAUUUUAAAUGAAACAUUGUUUUUUGAACUAAGUUCAUGCUACUACCGUUAUCUUAGUUGGCUGAUAUUUUUGGAAUCUCUAAAUUUAUGAUAUAGAGGGAGGUAGAUUUAUUCCUAAAAUUCUCCUGAAUAUGCAAUUUACUCAUAGGUGUGUGCGUGCACACACACACUUUCAAUCAUGUUGCUUCAUACCUAAUAUGAAUAGUUUAAUUAGCCUUAUUAAAGGACCAGGUUUUAUAAUCACAAGACAAAUUAUUAGGAGAAAGAACCCAGCAUCACACUAUAAGAGUAAACUAGUUGAAUAGUUGACAUACUAAUAGAUGUUUGAGUAGAAAGAGUAGCUAGAAUUAAAAGAAAUUAAGAUCAGUGCUAAAACUAUGUCAUUGUACAGGGGAGCAGAGUCGAUGUAUCUAAUUCACAUUCAUUUUAAUUAAUUUCAAAUGAAAUCCACAAUGAGAUAUCACCUCACACUCGUCUAAUGGCUAGUAUUAAAAAGAAAAAAAAAUAAAAAUAUUUGGAGAGGAUGUGGUGAAAAUGUAACCCUCAUAUACUGUUGGUGGGAAUGUAAGUUGGUGCAGCCACUAUGGAAAACAGUAUGGAGAUUCCUCAAAAAAUUAAGAAUAGAACUACCAUAUGAUUCAGCCAUUGCACUUCUGAGUACUUCUCUAAAGAAUAUGAAAACACAAAUUCAAAAAGAUAUAUGCAUCCCUAUGUUCAUUGCAGCAUUAUUCACAAUAGCCAAAGCUUGGAAACAACUAAGUGCCCAUCGACAGAUGAAUGGGUAAAGAAGAUGUGGUAUAUAUAUACAAUUCAAUACUACUCAGCCAUAAAAAUAGUGAAAUCUUACCGUUUGCAACACCAUGGAUGGAACUUGAGGUUAUUAAGCUAAGCGAAGUAAGUCAGAUGGAGAAAGACAAAUAUGGUGUGAUUUCACUCAUAUGUGGAAGAUUAGAAAAACAACAAACACAUACAGAUACAGAAAAUAGAUUGGUGGUUACCAGAGGAAGGGGGGUGGAGGGAGGGCAAAAGGGGUCAAGAGGGAUAUUUGUACAGUGAUGGAUGGGAACUAGACUUUUGGUGGUGAACACAACAUAGCAUGUACAGAAGUUGACUUAUAAUGAUCUACACCAGGAAUCUAUAUAAUGUUAUAAGUCAAUAUCACCUCAAUAAAAAAUAUUAGGGUAUGGUGAAUGAGAUGACAUUCCUGUCCCCUUUAGGCAGAAACUUUCUCAGUAAAGGGCAGAAAAUAGAGAGAGUGAGCAAGAGAGAGAGACAAAACACAUAUUUAAGUCAGAAUUAUAGGAGUGAUUGAUACUUUUGGUAGCAUGUGAUCAUUAUCUCAGAACAAUGCUUGGCAUAUAAUAGAUAAUCAAUAAGAUCGUAUUGAAUAAUUUAAUGAAUGAAGAUCAUGGUUCACAGGGAGUAUCCUACUCCAAAAGCUACAAAUCCUUGUUGGCCUUAUUGCUGGAAAUUAUAUACAUAUAAGACUUCCCGAGCCAUCUAUAUUUGCUUUCUGGUCUGCUGUCUGUUCUUUUUUUCCUUGAGUCAUCUCAAGAUGUUUGUAUGAGUUAUAGAAGAUUCCUAAUCUGCGAGGCCCAUUGGGCUAAUACCACUUGAGUAUCAGUGGAAGGAAUAGGGCCCUGAUAUCGCCUUGUCUAUUUAAUGAUUAACCAACCAGCAGUCAACAGAAACCAGGCUGAACUGUUUAUUGAAUUUUUGUAUAUAAUGAAUGUGAGAAGUGACAAAUAAAUAAGGUACAACCACCACUACACAGGCACAAAAAUUCCCAAGGAUUUCGUACCAGGACACGUUCCUACUCUGCUACGCUCCUUUUUUCACAUGACCAGGACCUGCUUACUACCUCUCAGUGGACCAACUUCCCUGAGUAUAUCUAUGUCUUAUAGUCCAGGACAACUGACCCCAUCCCCAGAGUUGGUUAGUUGUUUUUGUACUCUGUGCUACAUGUGCAAUAGAUUGACAACACAAUCCUCAAAGUUCGGGGUAUGCAGUUUUAAAAAACAUCAUAUUAUGUCACCAACAGUCUGUUUAUUGGAUCUGCACCAAGAUUAGUCCAAUCUUUUUCCAGGCUUGCUCAUUAAGGGUUAAAAACAUCAUGGAAUGCUUCAUCUGUCUGGAAAAGUGAAUUAAAGUGGUUUCAGAAAUCAAAAUAAACAAAACAAACUCUAGAAAUAGUAAAAGAAAAAUCAAGGUUUACAUCGCUAGUAGAAGGUGACUGAAGGUCCAUGAAUAAGUUGAAGAGGUUGCUUGAGGAAAGCAUAUAAGGUGGUUAGCAAGAAAUUGAUACAAAUAAAGAAUAAAGUUGAUACAAAUAGGAGUGAGGAGAAAAAGAAAAUUAAUAUUGACUAAGCAACUAUUAUUUACAUGCUCCUUUUACAUAGAGUAUUUCAUAUAAAUAUUACAACGAGUCUGUGGAUUAGCAAAUAUAACUUUUUCAUUGUGGAGAUGAGGAAAUAGAAAAAUUAUGCAUACCACAUAGCUACUGAGGGAGGAAUUGUGAUUUAAGCACAGGUGUCCGUAACACCAAAACGUGUACUGGCAAUUGAAGGGGAAAAACAAUGUUGGUGUAAAUGAGGGAAUAAAAUAACUCAGUGGCUGAGGCUUCCAGAAAGGCAGAGUUUUUCCAGAGUAGGCAUAAACAGGGGUUUAAGAAUAUGAACUACCUUGAGCCAUAAUUAUUUAAGAUUCCUGUCAAUAACGUUGGGGGAAUCUGUCAGAAAAGAGGUAAAGACAUUUAGAAGUGGCAUGUAUCAACAGUAUUAUUUUUAGAGAAGAGAUGAGCACAAAAGGAGGAGUGUUUAAGGAUUUCUGAAGAGAGAAGCAAAUAGCAAAGUUAAUGAAUAUUGUGAGUUAAUGAAUAUUGCAUUUGAAGAGCAGAAUGGAAGUCUCAGAGGUAAGUCACAGAACUAUAAGAAUUUUGGUAAUAUUGUAGCAGAAAGUGUGAGGAAGUAAUGAUAAGGUUGGGGAGUUAGGCAAGGGAUAGAUGAGAAAGGCCCUUAAAUAAACUUAAUUCUAGAAUAACCUUGGCUAAAAAAUAGAGAAUGAUUAUGAAACAUAAGUACCAAUUAUACACUUUAAAAGAUAAGGUUUAUUCAAAUAGUUGAUAUGGAUUGGAAAAGUUUUAUAUUUAAAGGAUGUGUCUCAAUUAGCAUUAUAACGAAGAUUUGGCACGAGGAAGAACAUUUGCAGAAGUUUGCCUAGAGGGCAAUGUCACCAGUUGGGUAGUUUCAGAAAUUACGCAAUGAAAUGAAAACUCACUGGCAUGUUACUUAGGUGUGUGUUUGUUUGUUUGUACUAUUUAUGAGCUAUGGGUGGUUCAGUCUAAGCCAGAGACCUCCUUGAGAUCUGGAAUUUUAUUUGUUUUUAUCACCUAAGGGCAUGUGUGCCACAGAGUAAAUAUGAGUAUAUUUGUUUAAGUUUUACUUCCACAUCCAUUCCCUUUUUCCUCUCAAAGUCAUAGCCUAGAUUACCUGUGGGUGUUAAUGUGCUUCUGUCAUGUGCUUCCUGUGGAAUUGGCCCUGUCCCUAAUCUUGAGGAUAUGCAGGAGCAAGGAUGGGUACACAAGCUUGAAAAUCAGAGUAUAACCACAAUAAUUGUUUUUAUAAUAAGAGCCAAUGGGAUGCAUGAAGAUGUUGCUGUGAUUUCUGGGAAAAAUAAUUUCACUCUUUCUCUCUAGAAUUAAAAUGGAGCAUGAGAGUAUAUAAAGUAUGGAGCUACCAAAGUGACUUUUUACCAUGAGGACAGAGUUUGUGUAAACAUCAAGUUGUACCUAGACAAAAAGGAAUUAGCAUAUAGAGAAAAAAAACUCCCAUAAAGUUGUUAGAGGUCUUGCUUGAUUGUGCCUAAAGUCUGCCCUAGUCUUAAACUUUUCAGUUAUAUUACGUUUUUUUUUAAUGUAAGUGAAUCUGGGUUGGAUUUUCUGCCACAAUAGAGCUUUUGUUGAGUGAGUGUUGAAUAAAUGAUAGAAAAAUUUGCCAUGGGAGCUGGAUAGCUGUAUCAUUAAAUUAUUAAGUUUUAGAACAGGAAUGUUUAACCUAGUGUCCAUGUACUGCAUAUACUAGUGGCCUGCAACAGGCCCCCCAUCAAUUGUAUGCAAAAUUUUGAGAAGGCAUGCAUCUCCAUCUUCUUGUGAAAGACAAACAUUUUCAUCACAGUCUUGAAGUUUAUGACUGUAACUUUGAAAGGAAAACCAAACGCAGAAAGCAUAAAAUUAGAGUAGAUCAGCAUUUGCAUGUUAUUUAUUUAUAUCUACAGAACUGUUGAAAAGCAAUUUUCAAAAACUAUUAAAUUUGAAUGCUAAAAUAUGUAUUAAAUACCAUCCCCCCAUUUUUAACCUGAAUUCAAAGUGAGUCUCUUCAAAGCAAGUUGAUUUUUAUUUUCAGAUAUAAGAUGUUCAGGUUUAAUUGACUUCAGAUCAUUACAAAAUCAAUUAUCCCCUUAGAUAAGAUUAAGAUAGCACUGGUACUUGUAGUUGUGGUGACAUAUUUACAACCAACUUUUGACAGAGACAUAUGCAUUUUUUGAAAUAGCAACAAAUUAGAGAUCAAAUUGAGAAGUUUCAUAUAUGGUAGCCUUUUGAGGAACAAAUUGAAGCUUACUCUAAAAAUAUUUUGUAAAGGUAUAAAAUAUAAUUUUCAUGAUUAUUGUGACUCUGUCUUGUUUUCUAUCUAAAUAAUUUAUGCCACAAGUUCCACAUUACAAAUACGCCAAUUGUUCAUCUUAAUAUUUUGUUUUUUAUGGAACUCUUUUGGGUGGAUUUUAGUCACUGAUUAGCUUGAUGAUUUUGUAUAAUGCAGUCAGCUAUUGGAAUGUGUACUCCAGGAUUUUUUCUUCAGUGUUAGCUAUUUUCUAUUUUUCUUCGUUUCUAUCAUUUCUUCAUUUCUAUCUAUUUUCACCACACGACAAAGGAUUUUUAACCAAAUAAUUCAGUCUUAUAUACAACAGUGGAGAAACACAAUUCGAAGGAGGAAAAUGAAAACAACUCUAGUAACCAGUUUGUCCUUUAGUUCAAAACAGAUUGUCUUACAAAUUCUACCUGAAUCCAAAUAACAAAUCAUGAAGCAAUUGCUUUUUGUUCAAAUAUAGUUUUUCAUAGUGUGCUUUUUCAGUGAACAUAGUUACAGCUGUAACAUGGAAUUUUUAAUGCAAUACAAAAGGCAGCUAUCCAAAGUUGAUUAUAUUGUGUGAGUAGUGUAAACUGCAGAUGUAUUUUCCUGUUUUCUCCAUUUAUAACAGCUAGAAAAUGACAAAGGCUGGUGAGAGCUAAUAAAUGAAAAUGACCAGAAAGCCUUUAUAGUUUACUGAUUAAAACUUGACUAGUACAAUGGGUACUUUCCAGGGGGUGGUCAUACAUUUUAAGGGGUCAUGCAAACCAAGUAAAGAAAUGUAUCCUUAUGUCAGAGGAGAAUAGAGAAGAUUCUAGGUGAAUUCAUAAGUAGUGAUUAGUCUAACAGAGUGAAUGAAGAGAGAAGUGCUUGAAGAAUAUGGUAUUACAAUGCUUGUGAAUACUCCACUCAACCCAUGAGUGUAAUUUAUUUUAAUAAAUAAAAUAUUAUGCUAACUUUGACCUUGGAAAUUGUGAAAUAUGGAGACUGUUAGGAAAUUUUGGAAAAACGAAC